rnacentral:rRNA from 1 species
UACGUAGGGGGCAAGCGUUGUCCGGAUUUCUUGGGCGUAAAGAGCGUGUAGGCGGCUUGGUAGGUCCGCUGUGAAAACUCGAGGCUCAACCUCGAGAUGUCGGCGGAAACCACUUGGCUAGAGUCCGGAAGAGGAGAGUGGAAUUCCCGGUGUAGCGGUGAAAUGCGCAGAUAUCGGGAAGAACACCAAUGGCGAAGGCAGCUCGCUGGGACGUGACUGACGCUGAGACGCGAAAGCGUGGGGAGCAAACAGG